UCUCAUAUAGGUGACCAGUCCAAAUCUUUGAAACCCUAAAAGCCAUUUCAAAAUUCAAACCUGCCGCUUCACUUCCUUCUCAAUAUCCCGCUCUCAGACCAUCUCCAUUUCUCAGAUGGCUUCUUAUGGAUCCCUCAUUUGCUAACCCUAAUCAUAUUCCCCUCACUAGCUUUCAGGAAAUUACAAGGGCUUUGAUUCUACUUUACCUCUUCGAAUCUGGAAUUGCAACCCUGGCUGGAAAGACAAAUUACAGGAGAACACCGAUUGGCUCAUAAAACGCUUGAUGGAUCCCUCAUGAUAUACUGUAAAGCAGGUUGUUGUGAUUGAUGAUGCAGAUAACUUUCAAAAUGAUAAAGCAUUAAAUAUGCACUUGCUUUUUUAUAAUAUUCCUAUGAUGAGAAUAAAUGAGCAGAUUAUUACCAGGUUGGUCAUGCAGCUUAUGAAAUAAGUGUUAGUGGUGGUGGUCCAGAUGUUGGCUCAUGGGAUAAUUCUUUCCACAAUUUUGAAGAUGUAAGUUUUAUCCAUUUGUUUUGCUCAUCAUAUGAAUCCUACUCUUUUAGUCUAUUUGCCUUGUGUUUGGUUGUUCUGGUAGGGGGACAUGACUCAUAUAUUUAAUUUAUCUAAACGGGUUAAAUGGAUUGAGGUGUUGUAAAGUAGGGAUGAGCACGGUACCCGUUCGGUACCGAACCGGAGCCGGUACCGGUAACGAAAAACAAGAAAAGAGGGUACCGGUACCGAAUACACCGGUUUGGUACCGGUACGGUACCUGUACUUACCGGUGUUUUACCCGUUAAUACUGGUACCGGUACCUAAAAACGGAGAAAGUGAGUACCGAUACCCAAAAUACGUUAUAUUUGAUUUUUAUAAUCUCAUAUAUGGCCAAUCAUGCUGCCAUUUUAUGUGGCUUAGAGCAUGAUAUGGGAACCGAAUACAUGGUUCGACCAGUAUUUUACACCACCAAAAUGUCUAUUCUUGUGUGCAUUUGUGUGAAUUGGCCUAUAUUUACCACCAAAUUAAUAACAAGACAUAAUAAUUUUAAAAAAGAAAAAAAAACUGUAAAGAUUUCAAAGCGAGCAGGUCGGAUAACGGGUCAAACGUACAACUGUCAAAAUGGGUAGUUUUUAUAGCAUGUUGGGUUAAGUUGAAACUUUUUUCCUAAUCCAUUUUUUCUAAUCGUAACAGCAUGGCUUUUGGGAUCGGCAUGUUGGGUUAAGUUGAAACUUUUUUUCCUAACCCAUUUUUUCAAUCAUAACAACAUGGCUUUUGGGAUCAGAUAGAUGCAUUACCUCUUAAUAAAAGAUUGGCGAAUUGAUUAAUAUUAUUGAUCUUAGUUUUAUAGCUUUUGUUGUACAUGCAAGGUACAGUGCUUGAAAAAUAUGUUCAAGACAGAGAUAAUUUUUAGAGAUUUUUUUUAUUAUAUGUUUCCUUAUUGUGGCAACUAUUGCUCCUUCUAUCAUAUUAGAACCAUUGUUUCAAAGACAAGUUUUCAAUGAUUUUCCACGCCUUAAAACACAUGAAGAUUUACUGUGUGUUAAUUUAUUUUUA